UUGAACGCUGGCGGCAUGCUUUACACAUGCCAGUCGAACGGUAACAGGCCUUCGGGUGCUGACGAGUGGCGAACGGGUGAGUAAUGCAUCGGAACGUACCCAGAGGUGGGGGAUAACGCAGCGAAAGCUGUGCUAAUACCGCAUGUGAUCUGAGGAUGAAAGCGGGGGACCGAGCAGCAAUGUUUGGCCUCGCGCCUUUGGAGCGGCCGAUGUCGGAUUAGCUAGUUGGUGGGGUAAAGGCCUACCAAGGCGACGAUCCGUAGCUGGUCUGAGAGGACGACCAGCCACACUGGGACUGAGACACGGCCCAGACUCCUACGGGAGGCAGCAGUGGGGAAUUUUGGACAAUGGGCGCAAGCCUGAUCCAGCAAUGCCGCGUGCGGGAAGAAGGCCUUCGGGUUGUGAACCGCUUUUGGCAGGAACGAAACGGUGUCCGCUAAUACCGGGCGCUAAUGACGGUACCUGCAGAAUAAGCACCGGCUAACUACGUG
rnacentral:rRNA from 1 species